AGUGAACGCUGGCGGCGUGCUUAACACAUACAAGUCGAACGAGAACGGAUUAUAGCUUGCUAUAAUUGUCAGCUAAGUGGCGCACGGGUGAGUAAUGUAUAGGUAAUAUGCCUCUUACUAAGGGAUAACAAAUGGAAACGUUUGCUAAUACCUUAUACUCCUUAUUAACAUAAGUUAAUAAGGGAAAGAUUUAUUGGUAAGAGAUUAGCCUGUAUUGUAUCAGUUAGUUGGUGGGGUAAUGGCUUACCAAGACUAUGACACAUAACUGGUUUGAGAGGAUGAUCAGUCACACUGGAACUGAGACACGGUCCAGACUCCUACGGGAGGAAGCAGUGGGGAAUAUUGCACAAUGGACGAAAGUCUGAUGCAGCAACGCCGCGUGGAGGAUGACACAUUUCGGUGCGUAAACUCCUUUUAUAUGAGAAGAUAAUGACGGUAUUAUAUGAAUAAGCACCGGCUAACUCCGUGCCAGCAGCAGCCGCCG
rnacentral:rRNA from 1 species